rnacentral:rRNA from 1 species
AUGAUUCCGGCAGCAGCUUUGACGGUGUUGCUGCUCCAGCUCCGCCUAUCCACGGCAGCGUCUCAUGUUACGGCCGGUGCAGGGCCGUUGCCGCACUGCCAGACCAGCUGCGGCGCCGUGGAAGUGCCCUACCCAUUCGGCAUCGGCGACGGGUGCUACUGGCCAGGGUUCAACCUCACCUGCGACCGGACACGCGGCAGGGAGCCGCGGCUGCUCGUCGGCGCCGACCUCCAGGUCGUCGAGAUCUCCCUGACCAACUCCACGGUGCGGAUCGUGGACAUCGCAGGCCAGGUGAGGCUCACCUUCUCCGCGGGCCUCGACGGCAACGGCACGUGGGGCGGCCUCGGCGCCGCCAGCCCUUACGUGUUGUCAGAGAUGCGCAACCAGUUCGUCGUCACGGGGUGCAACGUGCAGGUCACGCUGGUUGGGGAGAGCGACGACAGCAGCGGUGGCAACGUCAUCUGCUGCUGCUCCUCCUUCUGCUCCACCAACAACAAGCUGACGGGUGCCCUGACGAGCUCCCCUGGCUACGGCGCUGCCGGCUGCUGCGACACACCCAUCCCAAUAGGCCGCCCCUCCUACGGCGUGGAGAUGAAGUCGCUGGACUCGAGGAACGAGUACGCCCACAGGCUGCCCAUCGCGGUGCGCAUCGCCGAGAGGGGUUGGUUUGAGAGCGCCUAUGCCGUGCUGCUCAACGACUCACCCGGGUACUCACCCUCGCGCCGCCCGGCGGUCCCCGUCGUCCUUGAUUUUGCGGUGGAUUCCAAGCCGGUGAUGCUGCCAGGGAUGGCGACGUCGGGCUGCCCUGUGGACGCGCGGAGGAGCGCGUGCCAGAGCAGCCAUGCCUCCUGCCGCAACGUCUCCGGAAAGUACCGCAGCGGGUACGUGUGCCGGUGCCUUGACGGGUACCGGGGUAACCCAUACCUCGCGGGCGGAUGCAAGGACGUCGACGAGUGUGCGCUUCCGGGCAUGUGCUUCGGCGAGUGCAUCAACACGGCCGGAGGGCACCUAUGCCGAUGCCAGCGUGGCGCACAUGGUGACCCGCGCAUAACAAAUGGAUGCACCAAAUCUUAUCUAGGUUUAAGUGCAGGCAUAGGAGUUGGCAGUGGAGCGGCCUUUCUAAUCAUGGUAAUUGGUGCUAUUUUCGUGACCCGAAAGAUGAAGCAACGCAGGGGGAAAAUGCUCAAGAAGAAAUUCUUCAAGCAAAAUCGAGGGCAUUUGUUGCAACAAUUGGUGUCUCAAAAGGCGGACAUCGCUGAGAGGAUGAUCAUCCCCUUGGUGGAGCUACACAAGGCCACCAACAAUUUUGACAAAGCUCGCGAGAUUGGUGGAGGAGGGCAUGGCACGGUCUACAAAGGCAUCAUGUCAGACCUGCAAGUCGUGGCGAUCAAGAAGUCCAAGGUCGCGAUCCAGAGGGAGAUUGACGAGUUCAUAAAUGAGAUAGCGAUCCUCUCGCAGAUCAAUCAUCGAAAUGUGGUGAAGCUCCAUGGGUGCUGCCUCGAGACGGAGGUGCCGCUACUGGUUUACGAGUUCAUCUCUAAUGGGACCCUUUACCAUCAUCUCCAUGUCCAAGAAACCAUGUCAUCCCUGCCAUGGGAAGAUCGGCUGAGGAUCGCCACCGAAAUAGCAAGAGCUCUAACCUACCUUCACUCAGCCGUGGCGUUCCCUAUAGUCCAUAGGGAUAUUAAGUCCCCAAACAUUCUGUUAGAUGGCACUCUCAUGGCAAAGGUGUCGGACUUUGGAGCUUCGAGGUUCAUUCCUGCCGACCAAACAAAGACCUCGACCGCAGUCCAAGGGACAUUUGGGUACCUAGACCCCGUGUAUUUCUACUCAGGAAAGCUCACCGAGAAAAGCGAUGUUUACAGCUUCGGCGUCCUCCUCAUGGAGCUUCUCACUAGGAAAAAACCAUGCUCAUAUCGGUCAUCCGAGGAGGAAACCCUUGUCUCAUAUUUCACUGCUUCGCUAGAAGCAGGCAAACUGAUUCAUGUGCUAGAUCCUCAAGUGAUGGAAGAAGGCGGCAAGGAAGUUGAAGAAGUGGCUAUGUUGGCAGUAGCAUGCACGAGGAUUGAAAGAGACCACCGGCCAACCAUGAGGCAAGUGGAGAUGACACUUGAGAGCCUUGGAGCCGUGCAUGAUAGCUUUAUGCCGAAGUAUCAAGUGGUUGUGGGUACAACCAUGGAGGGAACGAGCCGACAAUAUAGCUUGGAAGCAGAACAUUUGUUGUCAUCAAGAUACCCCCGGUAG